rnacentral:rRNA from 1 species
CAGCCGCCGCGGUAAUACCGGCGGCCCGAGUGGCGGCCACUAUUAUUGGGCUUAAAGCGUCCGUAGCCGGGUUGGUUAGUCUCCCGGGAAAUCUGGCCGCUUAACGGUCAGAAUUCCGGGAGAUACUGCCAGCCUAGGGACCGGGAGAGGCCGAGGGUAUUCCCGGAGUAGGGGUGAAAUCCUAUAAUCCCGGGAGGACCACCUGUGGCGAAGGCGCUCGGCUGGAACGGGUCCGACGGUGAGGGACGAAGGCCAGGGGAGCGAACCGGAUUAGAUACCCGGGUAGUCCUGGCUGUAAACGAUGCGGACUAGGUGUCGGGCAAGCUAAGGGCUUGUCCGGUGCCGCAGGGAAGCCGUUAAGUCCGCCGCCUGGGGAGUACGGCCGCAAGGCUGAAACUUAAAGGAAUUGGCGGG